AGACACCCGAAGUGCUUUUGGCGUAAUUUGACGUCAUUUCGAAUGACGCCAAACACGUCAAAUGACGCGUUUGGCGUCAUUUGGCGUCAUUUCGGGAGAAGGCAAAGGGGAGACUGGUUUAGACUGAUAUUUAUUUAUAUAUUUAUUUAUAUUACAAUAGCGAUUUUAUAAUAAUAGAACGCCGGUUCUAAAUGGGCAUUGAGGGUCUUCCUUAACACAAUCUGGUCACUCACAAUCGUCAUUUGUCUAGGGUUCUCGAGGGUCUUUCGUGUGUUGAGGUUGCCGAUAUAAAGACGAUAAAACACGAUAAAGCGCGGAAGAUUAACGAAUAUAGCCGAUGUGCCCAGGAAAAUUCCCGAACGAUUUGCGAUGUCUUACGUUAUACUCCCGUUCUAUUCCCGAUUAUAGCCGAUUAGCCCAUAGCAACACCUGGUAACCGAUUCUACCCCGAUAGACCCAAAAUUAACAAACAUGUUCGUUCUUUGCCGAUGUUGCCCGUUGUUGCCCGAUCAUUGAGCAUUUCUUCCCGUUUCUUCCCGUUGUCUAACGAUGUUCCCGGGAAGAGUAACGGUGUUUCCCGAUGCAACCACGCUAUUUGCCGAUGUUAUAACGAUAGCUGCUGAUUUAGCCAUCGGGCACCAUCGGGGCCCACUAUCGGGUAGGUGUAAACAGGGCAUAACCA